rnacentral:tRNA from 1 species
GGGGAUUUAGCUCAGUGGUAGAGCACUUGCCUAGCAAGCGCAAGGCCCUGGGUUCAGUCCCAGCUCCG